AAUAUUUAUCUAACUUAAUUGAAACCGUUGAGCAAGUGGUUAUUGCAAAUUUGGUGACAAAAAUGUUCAGCAUAAAGAAUCAUGAUGCGCAACGGCCGAUUCCGGACAACAUCUGCUCGAACCAGAAGAAAGCGGAAGAAAGUGAAAAAAAAACUCAAAUAAAAAGACAUGCAAAGAGUGAUCAGCGUAGUGGAUUGGAUCUCAGAUAUCGGUAUUUGCAACUUCCGUUCUUGCUCUG